GGGGAUUCAGCUCAGCGGCAAAAGCACUUGCCUUGCAAGCAGGCAGUUGUGAGUUCAAUCCCCA
rnacentral:tRNA from 1 species